UACGUAGGGUGCGAGCGUUAAUCGGAAUGACUGGGCGUAAAGGGUGCGUAGGCGGUUUGCUAAGACGGAUGUGAAAUCCCUGGGCUCAACCUAGGAACAGCAUACGUGACUGGCAGGCUAGAGUAUCGAAGAGGGGGGUAGAAUUCCACGUGUAGCAGUGAAAUGCGUAGAGAUGUGGAGGAAUGCCGAUGGCGAAGGCAGCCCCCUGGUCAGAUACUGACGCUGAGGCACGAAAGCGUGGGGAGCAAACAGG
rnacentral:rRNA from 1 species